ensembl:lncRNA
CCACACACACAAUUAGCAAAACACUACACCCAAUUAGCACAACCACACACACAAUUAGCAAAACACUACAGAUCCUUUGCAAAAUUAAACACUCUUGUAAAAACUAUACACUUUUUAAAAACCACACUUUGUUUCCAUAUGAAGCACACACGUUUCACAUUACUAUACUCUGUUUGCACGAGUUACUCUGCUGUGAUAAACCUAAAACACUUUUAGCACUUCUACUUCCCUAUGAUUAGAGUAGGCUACUAUCAACAAAGUACAAAUAUAAUGUAAAUUCACCAAACACUACAAAAGCAAAAUGUUAAAGACUGAAGAAACUCAUUUGUCAACACGCCCAAAAUGUUGACUUCUUGAAUGACGAAUCCAUCCUUGCAUUGCUGCUACCUCCAUCUGGUCACAGGCCUCCUCCAUGGCUUGGAUGAGGGGUACCUCAGCCUGGAGACAGAUCAUAUACCUUCCACCGCCAUGCCGAGAAAAACUCUUCUAUGGGGUUGAGGAAUGGUGGAAGAUAUAGGACGGUGAAAUGUGGAUGUUGCUGAAACCAGUUCUGAACCAGAGCAGAGCGGUGGAAAGACACAUUGUCCCAGACAACAAUGUAUUCCAUAUGAUCGAUUUGAUUUGAUGCUGUUAUGUUGUGCAAUUGGUCCAAGAACGUAAGUAUGAGUGCUGUGUUGUAAGGGCCCAUAUGGGCAUGGCGGUGGAGAACCCCAUUCUGGGUUAUAUUACCCCCACGUUGCCCUGGGACAUUGACUAUAGCCCUGUGGCCCAUGAGGUUUCUUCCCUUCCUUCGUGUUGUCGUCAGGUUGAACCCAGCCUCAUCUACGUAAAUGACCUCAUGCUGGAUCUCCUCUCCAUCCAUUCGUAAAACUCUCAGUCAGGCAAAAUUGUGUAGUUCAGUGUAGAUCUAGUAUACAUAUUACAGUAAAAGACUGAGACAGUAUGCGAGACCACACUGCUAAAGUGAAUACAUACCUCUGCAUGAGGUCCGCAGUCGUUUCACCCUUUUGAAAUUGCGCUCGAAAGGCACUCGAUAAAUUUGCUUCAUUUGAAUAAGUUUAUUUUUUAGGAUGCGUGCCGGUGUUGAUGUUGAGACCUGAUGAUAUCUUUGAAAAUGGCGUGUUAUUGACAAUGUUAGCUUGGAGCUGCUUGUGUUGUAGCAUUGUUGGCCAAAACCAUGUUUACUAUCUCCCUCUCUUGCUGUUCUGUGAACACAGGAGGCCUUCCCCCUCGUCAAUACUAUGUAGAGAAAAAAAAACAGUAUACAAUAGUAUAUAGAAUACAGUACUGUAAGCAGUUACUGAAACCGUGCAGAUGUUUUUGAUAUGAU